rnacentral:rRNA from 1 species
CCUACGGGUGGCUGCAGUGGGGAAUAUUGGGCAAUGGAGGAAACUCUUACCCAGCAAUGCCGCGUGAGCGAAGAAGGUCUUCGGAUUGUAAAGCUCUUUGAUUGGGGACGAAGUAAGUGACGGUACCCAAGGAACAAGCCCCGGCUAACUAUGUGCCAGCAGCCGCGGUAAGACGUAGGGGGCAAGCGUUACCCGGAAUUACUGGGCGUAAAGGGGGCGUAGGCGGUAAAAGAAGUCAUCUGUGAAAACCUAUUGCUCAACGAUAGGCUAGCGGAUGAAACUGAAUUACUUGAGGGCACCAGAGGUAGACGGAAUUACCCGAGUAGGGGUGAAAUCCGCAGAUACGGGUAGGAACGCCGGUGGAGAAGUCGGUCUACUGGGGUGCACCAGACGCUGAGGCCCGAAAGCUAGGGGAACAAACCGGAUUAGAUACCCUAGUAGUC